UACGGAGGAUGCAAGCGUUAUCCGGAAUUAUUGGGCGUAAAGCGUCCGCAGGUGGUUUAUCAAGUCUGCUGUCAAAGCGCGAGGCUCAACUUCGUAAAGGCAGUGGAAACUGAUGAACUAGAGUUUGGUAGGGGUAGAGGGAAUUCCCAGUGUAGCGGUGAAAUGCGUAGAUAUUGGGAAGAACACCGGUGGCGAAAGCGCUCUACUGGGCCUGAACUGACACUGAGGGACGAAAGCUAGGGGAGCGAAAGGG
rnacentral:rRNA from 1 species